GGAGAGAUGGCCGAGCGGUUUAAGGCGAUAGUCUUGAAAACUAUUGUGGGAGAAAUUCCACCGGGGGUUCGAAUCCCUCUCUCUCCGCCA
rnacentral:tRNA from 1 species